rnacentral:lncRNA from 1 species
GAAUCUAUUAAACUUUAACAAUUUAAUAUAAAAUUUGUGUUUUUAGCUUUGAUAUAAGAAUUGAUUUUUAAAAAAAAUGGAUAGAGAAAAUCACAAUUGGAUGUAUUAAGAUAAAAUAAUGAAACUUUCUCUCUAGCAACAUCUAAAAAAAGACAAAAACAUAUGCUAUAUGUUAAAUAUAAAUUUACACGCAACAUGUAUUUAUAUCCAUUAAUAAAUAAUUUUUAAUCAAUAUUUUGCAGGCAAACUCUUUAAUUGAAAAAGCUUUGAAAGGUGAAUAUGGGGAUUUUGUAGAUUCCAGGUUACAAUCCUUUGACCAACCCUUUGAUUACGAAGAAAUGCAUCGAAUUAUUUUUUGUGUUAAUGCUUGCAUAAAUCUACCUCUAGAAUCCCGUCCAUCAAUGAAAAGGGUAAAUUCUGUUCACAUAAUUUAAUUUUGAUAUAUAUAUAUAUAUAUAAAAUACAUGUUAUUUGCAAAAAAAUUUAUGGAAGCAUUUAGAGAUUACACAGUUGACUUGUAAAUCUUUUUAUCAUUGCUAUGCCAUGUAGGUAGCUCUAGCUCUUGAAGGAAUUCUGCCUCUGAAGAAUGACAACAAAUUGUACUCCGGAGUUUCAUAUAAAGGUCUGUUUUCUUAUAAAAAAUGGAAUAACUUUUGCAAAGUAUUAUUAUUUUUUUAGAAGACUUACUAUUUAGUAAAAUUUAUUAGUUAGUAUCUUAAUUUUAAAAAAUAUAUUAAAACUUUCAUGAGACAUUAAAAAGUCUACUAAUUAAUUUUAUCGUUAAUUUUAGUCAUUAAAUAUGAAAAAAAAAUCUAAAAUUAGAGACUAAUUAACUUAAUAUAUAUAAAAUUAAGAUAUCAAUUAAUAAAUUUUAUUGAUAUUAUAGAGACUAAAUAAUAAAAACACUUAAUAUUUAAAGUUAACAAAUGACUAAUUAGUAGAUUUUUUAAUAUUUUAAAAAUAUUUUAAUGAGUUUAAUGAAUUUCAUUAUUAUAUUUGAGGGACUAAAUAAUUAUUUUUUCUUCUCUUUAUAUAUAAAUUUAACUUAAUGAUAAAGUGAGAUCAUUUUAAUGUUAAAAAAACCCCUAAUAUUAGAACAAAAUUUGAUUUUUAUUUAAAUCUGAUUGGCAUAUAAUUCCUUUAUUUAAAAGGAGAUGGAAUGAUAUGAACUUAAUUCAUCUUUUUUUUGAAAAAAAAAAAAAAAAAGUAUCCACCUCUGUUCAUGUAUUUAUAAUUUCUCCCUGUUGAGUUGCACUAAUUUACCCUUCUUUUUCCGGAAGCAGAUAAGCCUAAGCCAAGCCCCAAGCCUUCGUUCAUUCCAGAAACUAAUAGAUCAUCAAAUCAAGUUUACAAACCAAGGAGAUUUACUUAUAAACAACUAAUAAAUAUAACUUAAUGAUAAAGUUGGAUCAUCUUAAUGUUAAAAAAAUCCUAAUAUUGGAAUAAUUUUUAAUUUAUUUAAAUGACAUAUAAUCCUUUAUUUAAAAGGAGGAAGGGAUUUAAUUAAUUCACCUUUUUGUAAAAAAAAUAUAUCCACCUCUGUUCAUGUACUUGAUCCUUUUUUUUUUUUUUCCUGAAGCAGAUGAGGUUAAGCCAAGCCUCAAGCCUCCUAUCAAUCAAGAAACUAAUAAGCCAAGCUCCAAGCCUCCUGUCAUUCAAGAAACUAAUCAAAUCGUUGUACGGAAUGGUCGAAGCACCAGUCGACAACCAACAGAAGCAACUAGUAAUGGUUCCUCCAACAACAUUGGAGAAACUUCAUUUGAAGAGAAGACUCAAGUUUACAAACCGAGGAGAUUUACUUAUUUUGAACUAACAUCUGCGACUCGAGGUUUCGCUAAAAACAACCUUCUUAACGGGGGUCCUUUGGGUAAAGUUUAUAAGAGUAUCCUAAAUUAUGAUGAAACGGUGAUAGUGAAGAAACUCUAUAUAUACAUGUGUGAAGGGAAAGAAGAUGAAUUCAAGAAGAUUAAAGACAUCAGCACUAGUGUCCAUGAUAAAAAUGUUGUUAACCUGAUUGGAUACUGUGAUGAAGGAGACAAAAGGUUGCUCGUUUACGAGUAUUUUCCAGCCAAGUCCUCCUUGAGAUCUCAUUUAGAUGGUAAGCCCUUUAUCUUAAGCAACUCAUCAAUAAAUGUGUGUGUUACUAUAGGAUUUAUGGCUUUAUAAAGAUAAUGUUUAUUAAAUUUUGGAUCAGACCUAACUCAUUCCAAAAAUUAGUUCACUGAGAAGAGUGUCCAAAACCCAUAUAAGUGGCACAUUAUCCCUAUAUCUCAAAUCAUUAUCAGAUUCAACACAAUCUCCAUGUACAGGACUAAAUUGGGGAGUGAAAUAUUUAUGUAAGACUCAAUAUUGAAUGAGAAGACUAUAAACCAUGUUAAGUUUUGGGUAAGUCUAAUUCACCCCAAAAUCUAAUUCUGAAAAUCCUUAUAAGCGGCAUAUUACCUCUAUCCCAAACCAAUGUAGGAUUCAACAAUGUUAAAUGAAAAAUUCUUAUUUGAACCUGGACCUAGAACAUAGAAAAUUGGAUUUCAUUUAAUUUUUUUAUGGAGUAAUCCACUUACAUGUAUUUUUAGUCCAUAAUGAAUCGAGUCCGAAUACCGGCUUUACAUGUUAAAUGGAUACCUCCAACAGUCCUUAAAACAAAAAAAGUUGCAAACGUCAACGGCCAUUACUUCAUUCAAUGGCCCAUUUAAUAGCCAUAUCGAAAGAAGGGAUGAAGGCCAUCAGUUCCAAGUGUGAUGUGAAAAAAUUUCCCUUGAACCCGAGGUCACAGUGAGGUGAGCUGUUGGGAGCUAUGGGUAUUUUUUCCUCCAGAUUUAGAGUAGUUGCUUCAGUGGGAUGACUUAAACAUUGAGUAUGCGAGAGUAAGAUUUAUUAUUAGAAUACUUUAUUUAUGAGAUUUAGAGUGUUAUUUGAUUUAGUGAAAUGACUUAAAUACUGAUUAUAUGUGAGAGUAGUAUUUACUUUGGGGCAUUUUUUCUAAGGGAUUUAGAAGGUUGUUUAUUGCAUUAGGGUGACUUAAAUAGUGGGUAUGUGGGAGUGGUAUUUUCUAUCUGAGAUUGAAAAGAGUGUUCCUUUAGUGAAAGUUGCUUAAACACUUAGUGGUAAUAACAUGAGUCUUCAUAUUUAUAUGAGAGGAAUAUACAAAUAUUAUGGAAAAUAUUAUAGGAAUUACUCAAAUAAUUAUUAUAAUAUUUGUACAUAAUAUUAUUCGCAUAUAGUGAAAAAGUAUUUUAUUGCUAUCUAUAAACGUAGGCUGGCAUUCAGCUAGUCGAACCAAAUUAAAAUUUUGUAUUUUUUAUUUUUUUUACGAUUUCUAGAAAUAAUCCCUAAUUUUUUCCGAACGGAUAAUAUGGCAGGGAAUGGCAGUUUGGAUUGGCCAACCAGAAUGGAGAUCGCUAUACGCAUCGGAAGAGGAUUGGUAAAUCUGCAUGACUUAUGUGAGUCUUCGCUUGUAUGCUUAGGCCUUGGCUAUAUCAAAGCUUGAUUUUUCCAGAUUUUCUCCCUUAAUAUUUGUGAUCUCUAUAUUUCUCAGACAAGCCCUGGAAUAUAUACGAGCAUUAUAAGGAUAAUAGCAUCUUUCUUGAUGAAAAUUUUCAACCAAAGGUGAUUAUAUAUAUGGCAGAUUUAAACAUUUUCGAAUGAUCAAUUAGUAUUAUGUAAAAAAUUUCUUAAGCUUAUUAUUCAAUAUGCAACUAUACUUAACUGUAAAUAUAUGGUGCAAUAAAUUUACUUUGAUUAUCAUUUUAAUCAGUUUGCAGAGUAUAAACGUGACAAAUUUUUCUCAAAAGAUUCUGGAAAUUCUAUUCCUAGAAGGUAAAGAUGAAACUUUUGUUUAUGUUUUCUCUUCGUCAUAUUGUUUGCUCAAGCUUAUAGAUACAUGAUCAAUUCUCCAACUGCAGUUCUAUGUCUUCAAGAUAUGUAAAGCUAGAUGUUUAUUUCUUUGGUGUAAUUCUUUUGGAGAUGAUUACUGGGAAAUUACCUGAUCUUCGUUCCUAUGAUUCCUUCAACUUAAUUGAAUGGGUACGUAUUAAUUUUUUUGUUUUAAUACAAAUGAAAAGAGCUUCUUGAUUUGAGUAUGUAAGGGUUUAUUUAUUUAUUAUUCUUAACGUUCAGGCUGUUCCUACAAUUCAAAAUGAUUGGCCCCAAGGCAACUAUAAGUUUGUUGAUGAAAAAUUGGGGAGAAACUUUGACGAGGAUGAAAUGGAUAGAAUGAUAGAAUGUACUUUAGCAUGUGUAGAGCGUUAUCCACAAAAUCGACCAGAAAUGAGCAAGGUAAUUUCAUAAAGCUUUACAUUCUAUUUUAUAUUAUGCAUAUAUACAUGUGAGUUCGUUUUUUAAACGAUUCAAUCGAUAUAUUUUAGUAUUUAGAUAAUAAUAUUUUUAUUACGAUCGUAAAAUUAUUAUCUUAAUGGCUAAGAUAAUAAUUUAAAAUUAUUAUAAAAAAAUUCAUUCGAUAAAAUUAUAAUUUUAAUUAAAAAAAUAAUUAAAUUAUUACUUUAUUUUUAACAACAAUGUAAAUAUAAUAGUUGUUAAACUGUUAUUAUUAAUUUAUAAUUAUUUUUAAAUAUAUAAAACAAUAAUUUAUAAUUAUUGUAUUAAAUUUAUUUUUCUAAUAGUAAUUAUAAUAAACUAAUAACAUUCAUGUGUUGGAAUCAUACUCUAAUUUUGGGAAGAAAAAAAAACUCAAUUGCUAAAAGUUAAAUUUUGUAAGAAUUAUUGAUGAAGUUAUUUUAUUCCAUUUAUUAGCAGAUCAGUACUCUUUUGUUUCCCUUUUUCUAAUUACUUUUCUCGGUAAAGCAGGUUGUUGAAGUUCUAGCAGGAAACAUUCCUCGGAAAAAUCUCAAGAAUUGAGAUGAAAUGUUUGAAAAAGAAAAUUAUUUUUUUCCUUUUCAAUAGAAGUUGGAAACUUCCUUGAAAGGCCGAUUGGACAUUGAAAUAAAAGAUAGACCUCAGUUGAAAUGGCAAAGGAGUGUAACUGGAAGACUUUCUGAAUUUUGCUUGUAUUGAUGUGUCUUGGAGACUAUUGCAAUUUAAAAAAAAAAAAAAAAGUUCCGUUUGAAAUAAAUCGAAUGUAAAAAAGUGAUUUAGCUUAGAGUAAUUUUUUUAAUUAACUCUUUUUAGUUAAUAAAAUUAAAAUUUUAGUUAUUAUGUUUCUAAAUAUACAAAUUAAAUUAAAUUCUUCUAAAUUUUUAGUUUUCAAACAGGAAAAUAAAAGGUUUUGGAAGGUUUGAAUCCAAAUAAGAACCUUGAGAGAAUUAUAUCACCACCGCCAAAUUGCUGGACUAUCUACAGUAGCAUUUCUUUUUCAAAACAAUUGAAAAUGAGGUUACUUCUUAUUAUUAAUUUAAUUCCAAUAACUUAUCAUAUUUGUCGUUAUUAUCCAUAUUAAACAAUGACCAAGAUUUUAAAAUGACUCUCUCUAAUUUAAUUCUAAUAUUAAAAAUGACCAAAUUUAUUAUCUAUAUUAAACAAUGACCCUAAGAUCAAACUAACAACUUUGUAGUUUCUUCAUUUAUUAAUAUGCAAGUGGGACAUAAAAAAAUCAUUAGUUAAUUAAUUUAGUACGUCCUAUUUUAUAAUACACUGACCAAUCUGAAAGCUGAUUGGCCCCCACAAAUGGAUUAAUUAAUAAUUCAACCUUCUUAAUUAAUGCCGCCUUCACUGACAGCCUGGGUACUGUUCAGAAACUAACAAUAUAGUAAUCUUAGAUUGCACCGACUCUGCAUAAUUUGUAUUUUUUUAAUACUCCCUACUUUGAAACUUUAAUUUUCGCUAUCAGUCCUCAUUCAAUCUAUUCGAUUUUAAAAAUUAAAUCCAUCGAAAAUUAAAAUUUAAAUAUUUUUAAAAAUUUUAUUUUAAAAAAAAAAUAUAUUUUUCAAAGUUAAAUUAAAUUAAUUUUAAUUAAAAAUUAAAUUAAAUUGAAUUCAUUUAAUUUAAUUUUAUUCAAUUCAAUUUCAUCAGUUAAAUUUUUAAUAAUUUUUAUUUUUUAUAUUUUAAAAUUUAAUUAAAUUAUUUUUAUUUUAAUAUAAUUUAAUAUAUUUAUAUUAUUAAAAAUAAUAUAUUAUUAUCCUUAAUCGGUUCAGUUUAAUUUUUUUUUAUUUUUUUUAUUAAAAUUAAACUGAAUUGAAAUAAUUAAAAUUUUUAAAAUUAAAAAUUAAAUCAAAUCAAAAUAAAUAAAAAAUUAAAUUAAUUAAUUUUUUCCAUUUAAGCUGCAUGCGAAUCACUAUCAUCUUUGCCAUGCUGUCAAAAUUAGAUAACAUAUGUUUUUAUUAAAAAAAUAUUAUGCCCAUGUAAAACAUAUAGGUUAAAUAUAUAUUUAUAUAUUUAUAUUUUAAUAUUAUAUACAAAACGAUACAAGAAUAUAUAUAUAUAUAUAUGACUGACUCUCUCUCUCCUUGGCUUUUCAUUUCCUACCUUGACUGACUCUCUCUCUCUCUCUCUCAUCGUAACCUUGUGGGCAGCCAUGGCUGGGUCUUACUUUCGCUGGUUCAAGAAUAACGAAGGAAACGCCAAUGACCAAAACAGAGGAGGUAUAUCUUUGCUUAUACUGUAAGAUAAAUCCAACUCUGUUGGAAUUUCUUACCUUCUAAUAUCUAUAUUAAUAUAUAAAAAUCCAAAUCACUGUAUCAUGAUCAUAUAUGAUUAGAUUUGUUUGUUAUGUUAUAGACCUAUUUUUCUUAUUUGAUUUAUCAAUUUUUGUUUUUCAGAUAUUAAUUAUUGACAAUAAAACUUAUAUUUAAAAAUAAAAAAAGAAAGCCCUUCUCAUUUGAUUCUCUUUUGUUUUCAAUUAUUAAAAACAGAGGAAAAUGCAAUUCCAGAACCAAGCAGAGGAGGUAUGUUACAAGUGAAUUGCUAAACAUCCUAUUUGAAAUUUCGAUUAUGUGUGAAAUUUAUAUUUGCCGUACUACAUCUUUUAGUUUCGUAAGGAAUUAUUGACUUAAAAGUAGACCUAGCUAGAUCUAUGGAACGGAAUAAAUGGAAAAUUGAAAUAUGAGUAUUUUAAUAAUCAAACCGAAUUGAUUUUAAUCAAAAAUUAAAUCAAAUCGAAUCGAUUUGAUUCAAUUUAAUUUAAUGAGUUUUAGUUUUUAAUAAAUUUUUUUAUUUUUUACGCCGUUUUUUAAUAUUUUAAAAUUUAAUUGAAAUAUUUUAAUCUAUAAUCUAAUCUCUUUAUAUUAUUAAAAAUAAUAUAUUAUUACCAUCAAUCAGUUCAGUUUGAUUAUUUUAAUUUUUUUUUUAUCAAAAUCAAACCGAAUUGAAAUAACUAAAAUUUUUAAAAUUAAAAUUCGAAUUGAAAUAAAUAAAAAAUUUAACUUAAUUUUUAAAUUAAUUCAGUUCGGUUAAUUUUUUCGAUUUGAAUUCAAUACUGCUCACUCUUAACCAGAUUUAUUCAAGCCGUGAAUUGAAUUGAAAUGAUCAAUUAAAUUCUAAGGUGACUCCCCCUUAUGAAUGAGAAAAAAUGGGAUUUUUAUAAUGUUUUGAUGUUUAACCUAGGGUUUUAGAGUCAAAAUAAGAGGAAAAUUAUAUUCUUAUAGUGUCUCACGACUAGGCCGUGCCUGAGGAGACUUUGUCUCGGCCCAGUUGAUCAAGUAUAAUUUAGCGACAUUUUUCUUAUUAUUAUUACUAUUUAAAUAUGUAUUUUCUUACCUUAAUUUAUAUUUUUACAAUAUUUUUGCAGAAAAGGAGAAAAAUGGAAACUUGGAGAAAAAUAGCUUGAAAUGCUAGAAAACUGAUUUGGCCGAAGCGAUUUGACCAAAUCAAGCCUCAAAGAAUGCCAAAGGCAGCUACAAGAAGAGGAAGCUAACCUACAAGACUUGAUAUGCCUAUGUUGAUUUGCCCGGAUCGUUGGCCAAAUCACCUUAAGAAAAGUUGAAACUGAAACCCGGAGGAAACACGCAGAAAUGAUUUGGGCGAGGGAUUUGCUCAAAUCACUGUCUAAAUCAACGGUCCUCAGCAAGAAAAUACAGAAGCACGGAAAAGCAAAAAUCCAAAGAUUCAAACGUCUUAGAGUCCUAUCCUACUUCAAAUACACCAAGACCAAUCCUAUGACACCACAUAAACUGCACCAAAAGGAGUCCUACACCAAAUGAGAUCUAUUCAUGCUAGAAUAUAAGAUAAAGAAGAAAUAAAAAAAAGACCAUCAAAGACCAAGUCUAAAUAAGAUUCCAACUCCAAGAAGGAUUAAGACUUCUCACCUAUAAAAAAGGGCAGCAACCAACAGCAAAAAAAUAUCAGAAUUUUGGGCAGAAGCUUCGACAACACCUCUCGCUCUCAUUUUCUUCUUCUUUUUCUCUUUUAUGUGUUCUUUAUCCACCAUGAGUGGCUAAAAACUUUUAUCUCUAGUUGAAGUUGGAGAAAUUUCAGUUUGUUAUGAAUUGGGAGAUUUGAAACUCCAUUGUUAAAACUUUUAUUUUUCAAGAUUUAUGCAACUUGUUCUUCAUGUCUAUUAUUGCCUUGCUAUUAGAAUCAAUAAGGGCCCAUUGCUUUUAAUUAUAGGUAAUAUAUUGUUAGUUUAAAUAAUUUAGGUCUGUAAUUGCUUAGAUUAUUUGAACACAAGUAACAAUUGGUUGCAUGAUCUAACUUAACCACGCGGUUGACAUUAGAAUUAGGUUUCUCUAUUUUUUAAUGCAGUUAACAGUUGAAAAGUGAAAAACUCUAAAGACGUUCCUUGGCAAUUUGUUAACUAGUGUUUGAUUAACGAACAUUUCCUAAUCAAAUUAAAACUAAUGAGGAAUUUGGUUGUGGGAAGCGUCUUCCACAACCUAAACUAAUUUAUUAAUAUAAAUAGAAGUAUCCAAGCGUCAAUGAUCAAUUCUAAACUGAAAUGGAUCAUAUACUUCAAUUAGAGUCUUUUUAUUAUUGAUUUACCCAUCUUUUAAUUAUUGCUCUCUUUACUACUUUAGUAUUAAUCUUAGAUCAUCAUCAUAAAAAACAACCCCCUUUAUUUUAUUUUUGUUAGUUGAUUUGCCCCGGUCAUUGUUAGGAAAGUCUUUAGUGUCAAAUCUCUGUGUUUCGAUCCUAUUGCCACUAUCUACAGUUCUUUUUGGUGAUUAUUAAUAGAUUUAUUUUUUACGAUUUCGACAACCGCUAUCACUAGUGGUGAAAACUACUGUCCAUUUAGGCAAAAAACAUGUCUCACGACAAGGUUGUGAGACAUUUUGACCUCAUUUUUUUUUUCUAUUCAUUGCUCCUCAUGGCCUAUUUGUGAAUUUUGGUUGGCCAUGAGAAGUUUUGACUUUUGAUCUCCAAAAUGUUCAAAAUCUUCAAAAUAAACUCCAAUUCUACUUUAGAAAUAAAAAAAAUUAAUAAAAGUUAGAUAUUUUAAAAUUAAUAUCUACCAAAUAAAAAUUAUAUAAAAAAUAAGUAUAGAAUUGUAUUUAAAUGUGGUAAAAAUAAAUAUAAAAAUUUAUUAUAUUAAUAAGUGAAAUAUUAGUUAACUUAAAAUAUGUAUUUUUUUUAAUUUUAAUUGGAACCUAUCAUCCUAGGUUCUUCAGUUUUUGCAUUCAACUGAAUUUAUUUGCAUCUGGGUAUGGAUCUGAAAUUUGCUGUGGAUAAGAUAUAUAUACACACACACGUAUAAAUAUGGUUAACAAUGGAGAAGGAUAUUGUAGCAAUGGGAGAUUGAACUGGUAGCACAAUUAUUGGCUUUCAUUAAUACAAUUAGAACAUAUAUAGACUGAGAGAAAUCAUCACCUCAUUUAGGAAGUUUAAUUAAUGUUACAGAUUCUCUUUAUCAAUUAUAACAAAACCUGAACGAAUUAAAUAAACCAUUUGUUAUUAUGUAAAUUAAAGAAUGAAUAAUUAAAAAAUCACAAUCAUAUGAAUUAGGUUCACCUUCCAGAUCGUUGACUUUUGAAAAAGGGUUAAAAUACUAAUUAAAUUUGAAGGCCAUGAUUGUUCAUGGAUAGAGUCUUAGCAUAAGUGUAUCCAUUCAUACGUCUAAGUGGAAAUCACGUUAACCUUAUGCCUUAAUAAACAAUACACAACUUGUUAUUUUUGUAAGACUUUUAUAUUUUUAUUUUAUUUUCAUUGUUGGCCACUACACGAAAUUGAUUGGUCAAUUAUUGAGUUAAAGUUAGAAUAAAGAGAAACUCAUUGAGCUAAAGUUACCUACUGUCUUCCUUCAUCCUUCCUACUUACUCUCUAUCUCUGACCAUUCCCAUUCACACUCUAUAAGAACUGUAUUAUAUUUAUACUUGCAACAAACCUCUGGUCGUGGUUGCAUAAGUCUGCAAGUUCCGAUGGCCUCUCGCUUGGGGAUGAACGGGGCAGAUCGCCGGAUGGAAACUAGAGGUAUUACUUGUUUUUAGCUGAAACUGUUGUACCAAAUAGUAAUAGUUCAUGGAGAUUUCAUUUCAUCUAACUCAUUGGGGCAUGUUGUCUAUUGAUUGUCACUGAGCACAGAUCCAAAUGAAUCUGGCUCAUCUCCUGAGAAGAGACCAAGUCAUACAUCUGCAUCUGUCAAUUAUAAUGAUAUUGGGCCAAAGCCAUAUUCAUACAGUGAAUUAGCAAGGGUAACUGGUCAUUUCUCGCUUAAUAACCUAAUUGGUCGAGGUGGUUUUGGUCAUGUUUUUAAGGCAGUCUUAGAUGGUGAGAUUCGUGCUAUCAAGAAACUUGAUUUUCUGGAUGUACAAUCUGAAGGAAGUUUGGAGAGGGAGAUUAUGGUCAUCAAAAGCAUCAGCCACAGAAACCUCGUUGAACUGGUUGGUUACUGUAUUGAUGGAGCCAAUAGAUUGCUCAUCUUAAAGUAUUUUCCAAAUGGAUCCUUGAGAUUUAAAUUACAUGGUGAGUCCCAUAUCCUUUCUUUUACUUUUAUGUUCAUCUAACUAAUCAAUAUGACAUAAUUAAUCUUACAAAUUAUAAAUGGUAUUAUAGGAAGUGAUAAUGUUUUGGACUGGGAGACAAGAAUGAAGAUCGCCAUAGGUUCUGCAAGAGGGUUAGAAUAUUUACAUGAAAAUUGUGAGUAUAUACUACUACAUAUUCUUAUAUGGCAGGAUUUUAGCUUUUGAGUGUAAAUUUAUUUAUUUAUUUUUAUUUAUGUUGAUAAUUUAUUUUCUCUCAAAAUUUUAUAUUCUUUUUUUUAUAUUUUUUUCAGGUAAACCUAAGAUUAUACAUUUAGAUAUUAAACCAGAUAAUAUUCUUCUCGACGAAAAUUUUGAACCUAAGGUGAGUUAAUUUUAUAAUUAAUAAAUAUUUUAUUUAUAUUACUGUUCUCUAACAAAAAAAAUAUCAUUAAAUACCAAAAUUUUAUUUUUAAACAGUAUUGAAAAAUUAUGUGAACUCAUUAAUUAUAUAAUUUGAUUGUUGUAAUUAAUUAAUAAAUUUUGGUUCUAACUUUUUGGUUUGGCCAUAUAUCUUAUAAAAAAAUUAAUAAAUCAAUCUUAGUAGGUUUCUUAUCUUUUUUUUUUCAUGAUUUAAAGUUUUCUUAAUAAACCUUAUUGAAGUAGGGAAAAUAGUGUAAUUUAUCAAAUUAAAAAAGUAAUAAACUUAUUAAUCUUCUCAAAUCAUUUGUUUAGAUAACAGAUUUUGGACUUGCUCAAUUUUUUACGGACGGUGCUACUCACAUAUCCAAAUCGUCAGUUAUGGGAACCCAUGUGUAAGAUAUAAAUUUCUUUUUUAUCAUUUAAUUGCAUCGCUAUUAUUGUUUAACUCUUUCGUUGCCAUUAUUAUCUACUCUUAGACUAGUUUAAAAAUAAAAUAAAAUUUAAAACAGACCAAAAAAAACCCACGAAAAGAAAUUAGGACUUGAAGAUCUUAGUUCGUUAAAGAAAAUUUUAACAUGAUUUUUUUUAGAAAUUUAUAAUUUAGUACCUCAAUAUUGCAAUUAUUAACAAGUCAGUUCUCGUAUUUUCAGAAAUCUAUUAAAAUGUCUUUAUUUCUGCUGUUAAAAAUAUAUCAAAAAACCAAAUUAUCUCCCUUCUUUUCCUCUUCCUUCUUCUUCAUUAAUUCUUCCUCCUCUUCUUCUUCUUUGGUUCUUCUAUUUCUUCUUCUUCGAUUUUUUUUUAUUCUUAUUCUUUAAAGAGGAGGAGACGAUUCUUCUUCUUCUUCUUCUUCUUCAUCAUCAUCAUCUUCUUCUCCUUCUUUUUCUUCUUCUUCUUCUUCUUCUUCUUUUUCUUCUUCUUUUUCUUCUCCUUCAUCAUCAUCUUCUUCUUUUUUUAUUCUUCUUUGAGGAGGAGGAGGAGGAGGAGGGACUAUUUUAUUGACGGAAAGAAACGAUAAAGACGUUUUAAUGGAUAUGAGAAAAGAUAAGAACGUUUUAAUAGAUUUCUAAAAAUAUAGGGACUAACUUGUUAAUAAUAACAAUAUCCAAGAACUAAAUAAGGGGUUUUAUUUGAAAGCAAAAUUGUAUUUUAAAAGUUUUUUCUCUCAUUCUUUAUCUAUUUUUAAUGGAAAAGAGGACGGAAUGACUAUUUCGUUGACGGAAGAACUAUUUCGUUAACAGAGAAAAAAGAUAAAGAAGUUUUAAUAGGUUUCUAAAAAUACAGAGAUUGACUUAUUAAUAAUAACAAUACUCAAAGACUAAAUAAUAAAUCUCUCUUUUUUUUUGGUAAGUACCUUAAUAUGAAAUUUAAUUGUGAUGAUUUUACUGCAGUUAUGAAGAUCCAUUUACAACAAAAAUGGGAAAAUACUCAGACAAAUCUGAUAUUUAUUCUUUUGGUGUUACACUUUUAGAGUUGAUCACCGGAAGAAAACCCAUAUAUAAUGGAAUUGACAUUAUUACUUGGGUAUGACUCUAUUUGCAUUAAAGAUUUUAUUUUAAACAUUCAAUUGAAAAAAAAAUAAAACUUUUGAAUUUAGAUAUUCUAUUUAGAUUUGAGUCUAAUGCAUUUAUUAUCCAUUAAUAAAUAAUUUUUUAAACAUUCAAUUGAAAAAAAUAAAACUUUUGAAUUUAGAUAUUCUAUUUAGAUUUGAGUCUAAUGCAUUUAUUAUCCAUUAAUAAAUAAUUUUUUAAUCAAUGUCUUUUAGGCAAAUCCUUUAAUUGAGAACGCCAUAGAUGGAAGAUAUGUGAAUUUGGUAGAUUCCAAAUUACAAUCCUUCGACCAGGAAGAGAUGCAUAGAAUGAUUUCUUGUAUUAAUUCUUGUCUAAAUCAAUUACCAAACUCUCGUCCAACAAUGGAAAAGGUAAAAUUUAUUCAUACAAUUAACUUAAUUUUAAUAUAUUCAAAACUAUAUAUAUAUAUUACACAUUAUAUAUUUUCAAUUAAUUUUAUGAAAGCAUAUAUCUCGAAAGAUUACAUAGUUAACUUGUAAACAGAUACGAUUAGUUCUUGAAGGAAAAUUACCUCCAGAGAAAUUAUACAAACACAAAUUGCAAUGGAGUAUUACACAUGAAGGUACAUAUUCUUUUAUAUUAAUUUAUUAUAAAUUAUAUGUAUAUUUAUUCGAAAGUUUGAUCUAAUUGAUGUCUAAAUUUUGAUUUAAUUUGUGUCUUAUCUUAAUAUCAAGAAACAAAUGUUGAUUUUCAACUGUAAAAAUAUAAUUUUUUUUUUUAAUUUGAAAUUUAUAACAAAUUAGUUUUUAACCAAAUCUAAUAGCAUAUUAAUGAAAUAUAAUUUUAACAAUGAUGAAACAUUUACCUUAAAAUUCAUUCACAUAAUUUAAUUCUGGUACAUUUCAAAAUUCUCUCUAUUUUACGGACUAUUUUCAAUUAAUUUUGUGGAAACAUUGAGAGAAUACGUAAUCGACUAUUAAAUCUGAUUGGCUAUAAUUCCUUUAUUUAAAAAGAGGAAGGAAUGAUAUGAACUUAUUUCACCUUUAAAAAAAAUGUUUCUGCCUCAGAUUUUGCUUUUUUCCGUUAAUAAUUCUCCUUACAGAGCUGCACUAAUUUACCCUUUUUCUUUUUUUUGGCAAGCAGAUGAGCCUAAGCCAAGUCCCAAGCCUCCAAUCAUUCAAGGAACUAAUAAUAAUAGUACACGAAAUAUUCGACUUGCCAGGCGACGUCGACCAACAGAAGCAACUAGCAAUGGUUCCUCCAACAUCAUUCAAGAAACUUCAUUUGAUGAUGAGAUGAUAUAUGAAAAGCCCGUUUUGGACAGAGGAGAAAACUGUUGCAUUUCAUAAAACCUUAAACCUUUCUCUUUCUUAUUUUUUAUAGACCAGGUCCUCCUUAUCAUUUUAAGCCUCUCUUUUUUUUUUUUUUUAAAACCAUAACUUAUUACAUUUCUACACAUUCUCUCUAUUGGAUAUGACCUAACUUUAAAAAAUAGCCUCUUUUACUUAAGUCCAAUAUCAAAUUUGGAGUAUCAACAAUUCUUUUCAUUGAUAAAUCCGUUGGUGGAUAUAAGACGAAGCAACUAAUUUUAAAUUUUAUGACAUACUUGGAUUGGACCUAACUUUUAAUCGACGUCGGAUGGAGACCCACGAUAGCUUUUUAGAAAAGGAAUUUCGAAACGCAUGACUUUUAAAAGUGUGAUUAGGGUAACAGGCCUGGUCACAAAAUUCAAGUGGUCAAUUUUUCAUUUUAAUUAUUUUUUUAAAUAUUUUUAUAAUUUUGCAUAUUAGAAUUUUUUCUAUUAUAAAUAGGUUUUGGCUAUUUGAGACUCACUUGUCACUUUUUUAAGAAUUUCGAUAAGACUUUUCCACUUUUAACCAUUCGUUUUUUUCAUAUCGUCUUAGUCAAACAAUAUUGAUAAAAAUUACAGACGGAGUUCUUUAUCAAAUAGUACCAUUCAUUUUUUAAAAGUCUGGUUGUUAAGAUUUUACCAACAAAUUUCAAAUUUGUUAGCGCUAUGUACUACUGAAUUUAUCAACAUAGAUUUCCAUAUCUUAUCUAAUUUGGGUUGUAGUCUAGAACUUUUCAUGUUGAGUUAUAAUAUGGUGCAUAAAUAAAGUAUACUUAAAAUUCAAGCCAUAUAAAUAACAUAAUUUAUGUUUAAUAUUUAUUAAAAAUAUAAAUAUAUUUAGAAAGAAAGUGUAGAUGAUAAAAUAAAGUAUGAAAAAUUAAAAAAAUGAGAGAAAGUAGAAAUAGUAGAAAAGUAAAUGGUAUAAAAUGAGAGAAAAUUAUUAAAAAGAAAAAGAAAAAGGAGAAAAAACUAAGAAAAUGAUUAAAAAGAAAAAUUAUGGAGAAUAGAAAAGAAUAAAAGAAGAGGGAAAAGAUAAUUAAAGAAGUGAGGGAAAAGGAAAUAAAUGAUUAGAGAAAAAAAAAUGAAUGAAGAGAAAAUAAUAGAAAAGAAAAAGAUAGAUAAAAAAAUAAUAGAAAAAACUAAAAUUAGAGAAAUUAAUAUGAAUAAGAAUUAUAUAAAAAUAAAAAAAUGAGACAUAAAAAAGGAAGAAAAAUAAUGAAAGAAAAGAAAAUGAAAAAAGUUAUAGAAAGAAAAAUUAUAGAGCAAAAUGAAGAAAAUAAGAACAGAUGAAGAGAAUAAGAGAAAAAAAAGGAUAAUAGAAGAAUGAGAAAUGAUAAAAAAAUAAUAAUAAUAAGAGAAAAAAGAUUAUGAGAUUAGAAAGUUAAAAUAAAAGAAAAUAAUAAAAAAUGAAAAAAAUGAAAAAAAAAAGGAAAAUGAAAAAAUAAAAAAUAAUAUAUGGAUGGAUGACAAAAGGAAAAGGAGAAGUGUUAAUAUUUAUAAAUCAAAUUAUUAAUGGAUUAUAAAUAUUUUAAAGAAAAUGUGUUUUUGAAGAGAAAGAAGGAGAAGCAUGCCUUUUUCCUUUUAUUCAAGAUGUAAUGAGUUUUUACAAGAGUAAGAUAAUCCCGAAACUUAGUUUUAGAGGAGCUUAUAUACUCCUCACGUGGAGCGUAACAGGUGCUCAGAUUGUAAAAGGACAAUUAUGCCCAUAAGACAGCAAAGAAUAAAACAAAACAAUAUAUAUCAACUAAACUAUGAUUAUCUUGCAUUCUCUUCACGCCUCCUGCAAGUUGGAACUGGGAUGGAGACCAGGGGCAACUUGGAACAAAGGUGGUGAUGCUGAUCAGAAGAUAAAGGCUUGGUGAGCAAGUCUGCAAGUUGAGCAGUGGUGGAAACAUGCGAAGGGUGAAUGAAGCCCCGCUGAAGCUGCUCACGGACAAUGUGGCAGUCAAUCGAAAUGUGUUUUGUACGUUCAUGAAACACCGGGUUAGCAGCGAUAUGCAAGGCAGCCUGAUUGUCACAGUGGAGAGGGAUUGGCAGCUGAGUAGGCACCUGCAAGUCUUGAAGAAUAUAAGAAAUCCACAAUAAUUCACAAAUAGUACUUGCCAUAGCACGAUAUUCCGCCUCAGCGAAUGAUUUUGAGACAGUGGGUUGUUUCUUGGUUUUCCAAGAAACCAAUGAGGAUCCAAAAAAAAUGCAGAAUCCAGUGAGAGAUUUGCGCGAAAAGGGGCAGGAGGCCCAAUCAGAAUCACAGUAAGCUGUGAGAGGCAUGGUGGCAGUAACAGGAAAGCAUAGCCCUUGAUGUAUAGUGCCUUUCAAGUAGCGAAGGACAUGCAUGGCAGCCUCCCAAUGAGGCUUGCGGGGUUGAUGCAUGAACUGGCUCAGAUGUUGGACAGCAUAACUGAGGUCAGGCCGUGUAAGAUUAACAUAUAGCAACCUCCCAAUUAGACGUCUGUAAGCAUGGGGUUCAGGAAGAAUAUCUCCUGUGUCCAGAGAGAGAUGCAGCCCUUUAGGCAAGGGAAAGGAGGCUGGUUUGCAUGAGUGCAUACCAGCAUCCCUCAAAAUGUCAGAAAUAUACUUGGUUUGGCUUAAAAGAGUAGCAGUAGAUGAUCUGGCCACUUCUAGGCCAAGAAAGUAUUUCAGAAACCCCAAGUCUUUAAUGGUGAACUUGGAAUGUAAAGCAUUUUUAACCUCAGUCAUAGCAACAGUAGAGGUACCAGUAAGAAGAAUGUCAUCCACAUAUAUUAACAAGGCCAAAAAAUAGUCAGUAGUGCAUUUAACAAACAGGCAGUAGUCAUGGGCAGAUUGGGUGAAACCUAGUGUCUGUAAAAAACUUGUAAACUCAAGAUUCUAUUGCCGAGAAGCCUGUUUAAGUCCAUAUAAGGACUUCUGGAGGAGGCAGACUUGCCCGGGCAGAGCUUUAUCAUAACCCUGUGGUGGAAGCAUAUAGACUUCCUCAUCUAAGGUGCCAUGUAAGAAAGCAUUGUUUAUGUCAAGUUGAAACACAGGCCAUUGUUUAUGAGUAGCAAGGGCUAUGAGAAUACGAACUGUAGCCAAUUUGGCAACAGGAGAAAACCGAUCUUUAUAAUCAAGACCUUCAAUUUGAUUGUAACCCUUGGCGACCAACCGGGCUUUGAAUCUAUCAAUGUCACCAUUUGGUUUACAUUUGACCUUAUAGACCCAUUUACAACCUAUGGCUUUCUUGCCUUUAGGAAGGGUUGUAAGGAUCCAGGUGUUAUUCUGUUCGAGGGCAUGCAAUUCAUGUUGCAUUGCAUUAACCCAAUCAGUAUUUUGCGAUGCCUGAAUGUAGGUGGCAGGUUCUGGAAUGUGAGAAAUGUUCAGGACAUAUGUUUGAUAUGAAGGUGAAAGGUGAAUGGUGGAAAUGGGAGGAUGGACAGUGGUGAUUGCCGUGGCAACAAAGUCAUCCAGCCACGCUGGUGGUUUAAUGGCUCUGGAAGACCUUCGGAGGCCAGAGAGAUCAGGAGAAGGCUGAGAAGGUGAGGAUAUAGAUGUGAUAGGCUCUGAAUCAGGUAUGGGAAUAGGCAGCACCACAGGGGGUUGCAGAGAUUGUGUGCUAAAGGGAAAAAUGUGUUCAUAGAACACAACAUCACGGCUAACAAAGAUAGCACCAGUAGCUAGAUCAUAGAGUUUGUAAGCUUUGUGAUUACUGGCAUAACUAAUAAAGGCUGCCUUAAUGGACUUGGUACCAAAUUUGUCUUUGUGAGUGUUUGUUUUGGUGGCAAAACAAAGGCAUCCAAAUUUUUUUAGAUGGAAAUAAUCAGGGGCUUUCCCAUAGAGACGCUCAUAAGGGCUCUGCCAACCAAAUUGGGCCAUAGGAAGUCUGUUUAUUAGAUAGGUGGCAGUAAGGACACAUUCAGACCAAAAAGUGUGUGGGACAUGAGAGUGUAUUUUGAGAGCUCUAGCCAUGUCUAAAAGAUGUCUGUGCUUUCUCUCAACCACUCCAUUUUGUUGAGGAGUGUGAGGACAAGAUCUUUGAUGUAUUAUGCCCUUUUGAUUUAAUAGUCUAGAGCAAUCAUUACUAAGAAAUUCACAUCCGUUAUUUGUCCUUAUUGUCUUGACAGAGGCAUUGAAGUGAGUUUGCACCAUAUUCAGAAAUGUAGAUAAGAUAUGAACAGUUUGACUUUUAAGGCGCAUUAAGAAGGUCCAGGUGGCCCUGGUAUUGUCAUCAACUAAAGUGAGAAAGUAUUUUGCUCCUGUGACACUUUCUAUGUUAUAAGGGCCCCAAAUAUCUAUGUGGAGGAGAUCAAAAGGUUCCUUAGCAACAGUGGUACUAAGGGAAAAGGGUAACCUGGCCUGCUUGGCUUGGGAACAGGUUUGGCACUGUAAAGGAGUACCCUUAGUGUGUUUAAGCACAUCAAUAUGUUUGAGUUUCCCAAGGGAUGCAUGCCCUAGUCUAUCAUGCCAAUCAACAAUAUUACUAGCAUACAUACAAGAUUCAGUUCGAGAAGAUUGGCUUUCUUUAUUUAUAGAAUGUGUAGAAAGCAUGGUAUUUANNNNNNNNNNNNNNNNNNNNNNNNNNNNNNNNNNNNNNNNNNNNNNNNNNNNNNNNNNNNNNNNNNNNNNNNNNNNNNNNNNNNNNNNNNNNNNNNNNNNNNNNNNNNNNNNNNNNNNNNNNNNNNNNNNNNNNNNNNNNNNNNNNNNNNNNNNNNNNNNNNNNNNNNNNNNNNNNNNNNNNNNNNNNNNNNNNNNNNNNNNNNNNNNNNNNNNNNNNNNNNNNNNNNNNNNNNNNNNNNNNNNNNNNNNNNNNNNNNNNNNNNNNNNNNNNNNNNNNNNNNNNNNNNNNNNNNNNNNNNNNNNNNNNNNNNNNNNNNNNNNNNNNNNNNNNNNNNNNNNNNNNNNNNNNNNNNNNNNNNNNNNNNNNNNNNNNNNNNNNNNNNNNNNNNNNNNNNNNNNNNNNNNNNNNNNNNNNNNNNNNNNNNNNNNNNNNNNNNNNNNNNNNNNNNNNNNNNNNNNNNNNNNNNNNNNNNNNNNNNNNNNNNNNNNNNNNNNNNNNNNNNNNNNNNNNNNNNNNNNNNNNNNNNNNNNNNNNNNNNNNNNNNNNNNNNNNNNNNNNNNNNNNNNNNNNNNNNNNNNNNNNNNNNNNNNNNNNNNNNNNNNNNNNNNNNNNNNNNNNNNNNNNNNNNNNNNNNNNNNNNNNNNNNNNNNNNNNNNNNNNNNNNNNNNNNNNNNNNNNNNNNNNNNNNNNNNNNNNNNNNNNNNNNNNNNNNNNNNNNNNNNNNNNNNNNNNNNNNNNNNNNNNNNNNNNNNNNNNNNNNNNNNNNNNNNNNNNNNNNNNNNNNNNNNNNNNNNNNNNNNNNNNNNNNNNNNNNNNNNNNNNNNNNNNNNNNNNNNNNNNNNNNNNNNNNNNNNNNNNNNNNNNNNNNNNNNNNNNNNNNNNNNNNNNNNNNNNNNNNNNNNNNNNNNNNNNNNNNNNNNNNNNNNNNNNNNNNNNNNNNNNNNNNNNNNNNNNNNNNNNNNNNNNNNNNNNNNNNNNNNNNNNNNNNNNNNNNNNNNNNNNNNNNNNNNNNNNNNNNNNNNNNNNNNNNNNNNNNNNNNNNNNNNNNNNNNNNNNNNNNNNNNNACAGGUGCAUGGAGGAAGGGUCUCCAUUGAUCCCAAUUCAUCCCAAAACCCUUUCAAUUUAGUGAAAUAGACAGAUGCAGAGGCAUUGUCUUGAGAUAUCAAGGAUAUUUUCCUACGCAACUCAUAGAUCAUGGUUCCAUUACACUCACCGAAUCUUUCGGUAAUUUCAAGCCAGAGAUCCCUAGGUGAGGCUGUGUAAAUGAAGCCAUCGACUAACUCUCUGGAUAUAGAAUUUAGAAUCCAGGAUGUGACCAUAAAGUCACAUCGCUUCCAUUGUUCAUAGGAAUCAGAUCCUUUAUCAGGUAUUGUAACGGUGCCUUCUAUAAAUUCCAGUUUCUGUUUGGCUCCUAGGGCUAUCCUAAUGGCUCUACACCAAGACCUAAAAUUUGUCCCUAUCAGAGGAGCAUAUACUAAAACCAUACCUGGAUGGUCCGAAGACUGGAGAGUCAGAGGAUCUCCAAGAUUCUGAGUUCCGAUCUGGAUUUUGUCCUUCGCCUCCGUGAUUUUGCCUUCUUUACUGGUAUUCCCUCGUUCUGCCAUGAUCGACAAGAUUUGUCCGUUUUAGCCACAGAUCGUGGUGUAAGUUUGUAGAUCUGACUGAGUUGAGGCCGUCUUGAAGGAAAACGGAAAGAUUAACGAGAUCUGCUUGUCAUGCAAGCCAGAUUCGGUGUAGGACUGGUGAUGGCGUUCACCUGGAGUGUAAGCCGGCUCUUUUCGGUAAAGGUUGUUUUAAAAAAGGAAUGGCGAGGAUGAACGGAAGAGACAGGGAAAGGUGCAAACCCUAAUCCGCUCUGAUACCAUGAAGAGAAAGAAGGAGAAGCAUGCCUUUAUCCUUUUAUUCAAGAUGUAAUGAGUUUUUACAAGAGUAAAAUAAUCCCGAAACUUAGUUUUAGAGGAGCUUAUAUACUCCUCACGUGGAGCGUAACAGGUGCUCAGAUUGUAAAAGGACAAUUAUGCCCAUAAGACAGCAAAGAAUAAAACAAAACAAUAUAUAUCAACUAAACUAUUAUUAUCUUGCAUUCUCUUCAUUAUCCUUUAAAAAUUAUUAAAAUAUUUAAAAUUUAUUAAUAAAUUUAUUGGUGAAUGAAAAAUAGUAGAUUUUAAAAAAGUAACACUCAAAUUUUAAGUAAGAUUAUAUUUAAAAUUCAUUAAUAAAUUUAUUGAUGAAUGAAAAACAGUACAUUUUAAAAAAGUAAUACUCAAAUUUUAAGAUUUAAUUUUAAAUUUAUUGAAAGAUAAAAAUACCUUUUCUAUUUAUUAAUUUAAUAAUAAGAAUUAUUAAUAAAUUUUAAAAUUUAUUGGUAAUCUAUUUACAAACUAUUAAUAGAUUUAAAUUUUAUUAAUAAUUUUAAUAGUUUGUUCGGAAGUAUCAAUAAAUUACUAACUGAUUAUUAAAUUUCUACCACAAUAAUUUUAUAAAUUUAUAAAAUUAUCAACAAAUUCUAAAAUCCAUUAUUUAAACUUUUACACAAAAAUAUGACGGAACUUAUUAUUGAAUUCCAAUAACUUAUUAGUAUAUUUCUACGCAUUCUCUUUAUUAAAUAAUGACCAAGCUAUUUAAAAAUGACCCUCAUAUUAUUGGCUAAUUAAUAAUUCAACCAUCUUCUGUGACAGCCUGCUGCUGUGUGGAGAUUACUUGCUCAAGUUUUCUUUUUUUAUUCAAUUAAUUUCAGUUUAAAUAAUUGAACUCAAAAAUAUUGUUGACUUUGGAAAAAGGGUUAAUAGUAUUUAAAUUCAAAGACCAUGAUUGCUCAUUGAUGGAGCCACUAGCGUAAGUAUAUGCAUUCAUAUCUCUUAGGUAGAAAACAAGCCAACCUUCUCUAUUGCCUUGAUAAACAAUAAACAACUUGUUAUUGUCAUUUGACUUUUUAUAUUUUAAUUUUUUUUAUAAAUAUAUGUUGCCCAUAUCACAAAAUUAAUUGGUCAAUUAUUGAAUUCGAAUAUCUCUUUAACCCUUAAGUUGGAUUUUAAUAUAAAGUAUAAAGAAAUCUUAAUUAUAUAAUUUACUAAUUGAAUAAUUGAGGUUUUUUCUUGAAAAAAUUGUAAGUUAGAAGUAAAACGCAUUUUAAAAGUCAUUCAUGAAUAUGCACACAAAAAUAUAUCAGUAGUGAGUGCCAUUUUAAAAAUUUAAUAAUUUGAAAAAAAAAAUAAAAAAAAAGGAAAUUAAGAGAGAUAAACGAAGUGGAAAAGCAAAAUUGAUAAACUUCACUUACAUCUUAAUUUUCAUCUAUUUAUAUUAUUUUUAAAUUGAAUUUUCUUUUUGAUUUUCCACUGAAAUAAAAGGAAUUAUAAAGUAUAUACCAAAACCUCAAUCUCAAUGAAGUAAUUAGGUUUAUUAAAAUUAUUUACUUUCUUAAAAGAUGAAAGGGUGGAAAGGAUAAGAAUAGCAUUUUUUAAUUAUAUAGUUAAAUUCAUUAAUCUUGAUUUUUAUAUAAAAAACUUAUUUGAUCACUUGAUUGAUGGAAAGAUAAAUAUUAAAUUACUAUUUUUUUAAAAAAAAACAUAACAUUAUCAAUAAAUAUAUAUAAUAGAUACACAUUUUUAUUAUUAUUCAUAGCUUAUCUAAUUCGUAAGAGUGACACUCAAGUAUUAAAGUCAAUUGUUAUUCUAAAAAAAAGUCAAUUAUUUAGAUGUCACAAUGAAAAUAUGACUAUUAUUUUUUGUUUAGAAUAGGAAACAACUCAAUAACAAUUAAAUUUAUAUCCAUUACACAAAAUGUCAUUGACUGGAGCUGGAGGCCACAUGCUGCACAUUCUACGUUCAACGUCAACGUUAUAAUUCUUUUUUUAAGAAAAACGAAGGUCUGAACGCUAAUGUUACCAGCUGUCCUUCCUUUAUCUUUCCUACAUCUCCUUCUCUAUCUCUGAUCUUUCACAUUCACACUUUAAUAUAAGAACUGUAUAUAUAUAUACUUGCAAGAAACCAUUGGUUGUGGUUGAAUAAGUCUGCAACUUCUGAUGGCUUCACCGUGGGGAGAUCGCCGGAAUGAAACUAGAGGUAUUAGUCGUUCUAGCUAAAACUGUUUAAUGAGUUCAAAUAGUAAUAUUGUUAUGGAACUUUCAUUUCAUAUAACUUAUUGAAGCAUGUUGUUUAUUGUAUGGUCACUAAGUACAGAUCCGAAUGAAUCUGACUCAUCUCCUGAGAAGAGUCCAAGUAAUGCAUAUGCAUCUGAUAAUUCUAAGGUUAUUGGGCCAAAAUCAUAUUCAUACAGUGAUUUAGCAAAGGCAACUCGUCAUUUUUCGCUGAAUUACCAAAUUGGUCAAGGUGGUUUUGGUCAAGUCUUUAAGACAUCCUUAAACGGUGAGACCUAUGCUAUCAAGAAACUCAAUAAUUUUGUAGAUGAACAGGCCGAAGGAAAGUUGGAGAACGAGAUUGAGGUCGUCAAUAGAGUCAGUCACAAAAAUCUUGUUAAGCUAGUUGGUUACUGCAUUGAUGGAGCCAACAGAUUGCUUAUUUUAGAGUAUUUUUCUAAUGGGUCCUUGAGAUCUAAAUUACAUGGUGAGUCCAAACCUUUAUUUUAUGUUCAUAUAACUAAUUAAUAUAACAUAAUUAAUCUUAUAAAUUACAAAUGGUACUGUAGGAAAGGAAAAUGUUUUGGACUGGAAAAAGAGAAUGAAAAUCGCCAUAGGUUCUGCAAAAGGAUUGCAAUAUUUACAUGAAGAUUGUGAGUAUAUAUUAAUAGCAUAGUAGGCUUUUUUGAGAAUGAAUUUUAUUUUUUUUUCCUUAUUUGUGCUAAUAAUUUAUUUCCUCUGAAAGUUUUGUUCUCCCUUUUUAUAUAUAUGUUUUUUUUUUUUUUUUCAGGUGAACCUAAAAUCAUACAUUUAGAUGUUAAGGCAGAUAAUAUUCUUCUUGAUGAUAACUUUGAAUCUAAGGUAUGAUAUAUAAUUUGAUAAUAAAUAAAAAUUUUAUUCUUAUCAUCAUAUAACUAUAGUGGAACCUUUACCAUUGAAUAUCAAAAUUUUUAUUUUUAAAUAAUAUUGAAAAAUAAUGUGAACCCAUUAAUUUGAUUGCAUAGGUUUCAGAUUUUGGACUUUCCCUAUUUUUUUCGGAUGCUGCUUCUCAUGUCUCAAGAUCAUCAAUUAGAGGAACCCAAAUGUAUGUAAGAUACAAAUUUCUUUCUAUCAUUUAAUAACUGUCUAUUGUUUUCAGUGCCAUCAUGAUAUCUACUCUUAGAGCUCCUUAAUUUAAAGAUAUUAUUUUCUUACAGGAAAUCUUAAUAUGAACAUUAAUUGUGAAGAUAUUAAGUUUAAUUGUAUGAUUGAAUUGCAGCUAUGCAGAUCCAUUGACAACACAAUUGGGAAAACACUCUGAUAAAUCUGAUGUUUAUUCUUUUGGUGUUACACUUUUGGAGUUGAUUAGUGGGAGAAAACCCAUAAAUCAAAACGGCGUCAAUAUUAUUACUUGGGUAUGAAUCUAUUAAAUUGUAACAAUUUAAUAUAAAAUUGUGUUUUUAGCUUUUGAUAUAAGAAUUGAUCUUUAAAAGAAUGGAUUCAACAAAUCACAAUUGGAUGUAUGGAGAUAAAAUAAUGAAACUUUCUUUCUAGCAACAUUUAAAAAAAACAAAGAAGACAAAAACAUAUGCUAUAUGUUAAAUAUAAAUUUACAGGCAACAUGUAUUUAUAUCCAUUAAUAAAUAAUUUUUAAUGGAUUUUUUGCAGGCAAACUCUUUAAUUGAAAAAGUUUUGAAAGGUGAAUAUGCGGAUUUUGUAGAUUCCAGGUUACAAUCCUUUGACCAUGAAGAAAUGCAUCGAAUUAUUUUUUGUGUUAAUGCUUGCAUAAAUCUACCUCCAAAAUUCCGUCCAUCAAUGAAAAGGGUA